CACUCCUACGGGAGGCAGCAGUGGGGAAUAUUGCACAAUGGGCGCAAGCCUGAUGCAGCCAUGCCGCGUGUAUGAAGAAGGCCUUCGGGUUGUAAAGUACUUUCAGCGGGGAGGAAGGCAAUACGGUUAAUAACCGUGUUGAUUGACGUUACCCGCAGAAGAAGCACCGGCUAACUCCGUGCCAGCAGCCGCGGUAAUACGGAGGGUGCAAGCGUUAAUCGGAAUUACUGGGCGUAAAGCGCACGCAGGCGGUCUGUCAAGUCGGAUGUGAAAUCCCCGGGCUCAACCUGGGAACUGCAUUCGAAACUGGCAGGCUUGAGUCUUGUAGAGGGGGGUAGAAUUCCAGGUGUAGCGGUGAAAUGCGUAGAGAUCUGGAGGAAUACCGGUGGCGAAGGCGGCCCCCUGGACAAAGACUGACGCUCAGGCGCGAAAGCGUGGGGAGCAAACAGGAUUAGAAACCCUGGUAGUCCCAUGAU
rnacentral:rRNA from 1 species